UUAUCCUCCACCUGAGCUCCCCUAAACAUUAGUUUCGUUACUCUAGCUGAAUUCUCUGUAGGAAAGAAAGCUUUCCAUCAUCAUCAGAUGGAGAAGAAAAGCUUCUCACAUAGAGAGGGCAUUUUCUUGCAGCAUCCAUUCUUCCUUUUCCUUAUUCUAGCCUUAGGUUUUGUUGUAAUGGAUCCCUUUAAAAUGGGUCCUGUAGGCUGCCAUGACUUCAGGCCUGUCAAGCACGACAUUGCACCUUACAAGCAAGUCAUGGAUAACUGGCCGAGAGACCAGUAUGGUCGUCUGGGGAAUGGGAAAUUGGAGUUUGAUGAUCAAAUUUUUGGCCCUGAAUCUUUGGAGUUUGAUAGCGUUGGUCGUGGUCCUUACACUGGACUAGCCGAUGGACGUGUUGUUAGAUGGAUGGGAGAGGCUAUUGGAUGGGAAACAUUUGCUGUUGUCACUACAAACUGGUCAGAGAAGCAUUGUGCUAGAGGUGUUGAUUCAACCACACCUAAGCAAUGGAAGCAUGAGAAACGAUGUGGUCGUCCACUGGGCCUAAGAUUCGACAAAAAGAGUGGAAAUUUAUACAUUGCAGAUGCUUAUUAUGGCCUUCUGGUUGUUGGACCUGAAGGAGGACUAGCUGCUCCUUUGGCAACUCAUGCAGCUGGAGACCCAAUACUCUUUGCCAAUGAUCUUGACAUACAUGAGAAUGGCUCUAUCUUCUUUACCGACACUAGCAAGAGAUAUGACAGAGUGAACCAUUUCUUCAUUUUGCUGGAAGGAGAAGCCACUGGCAGGCUUCUUAGAUAUGAUCCUCCUACCAAAACAACUCAUGUAGUAUUGGAUGGCUUGGCAUUUCCAAAUGGAGUACAGCUAUCUAGGGACCAGACAUUCCUUCUAUUCACAGAGACUACCAACUGCAGAUUGAUGAAAUUCUGGCUAGAGGGUCCAAAAACUGGAACAGUGGAACUUGUUGCUGACUUGCCAGGUUUUCCUGACAAUGUAAGACUAAAUGAUAAAGGACAAUUCUGGGUAGCAAUAGAUUGUUGCAGGACUCCAGCACAAGAGGUCCUCACACAUAAUCCAUGGAUGAGGAGCAUCUACUUCCGGUUACCAAUCCAAAUGAGCUUAUUAGCAAGAAUGAUGGGGAUGAGGAUGUACACUGUCAUAUCACUCUUCAGUGAAAAUGGAGAAAUCUUGGAAGUUCUUGAGGAUCCAAAAGGUGUAGUGAUGAAGCUAGUAAGUGAAGUUAGAGAGGUAGAAGGGAAGCUGUGGAUUGGAACUGUGGCUCAUAACCAUAUUGCAACCCUCCCCUAUCCUUAAUUAAUCCUUAGCUGCAAAAUCUUAUUGAUAAUUCUGUGAUGUAUUAAAUGGCUGGCUGGCCGCUUGUCUGCCUGCAAUAGGAAUUUCUGUAACAGAAUGAGCCUCAUUUAG
rnacentral:misc_RNA from 1 species